rnacentral:rRNA from 1 species
CCUUGUACACACCGCCCGUCACAUCACGAAAGCCCGUUGUACUAGAAGCCGGUGAUUUAACCGCAAGGGGGAUAGCCGUCCAAGGUAUGACUGGUGAUUGGGGUG